AUGCCAUAGUGAGGGCAUUUUCGUAAAAGCUCUUUGAACCUCUCCCAUGCAUCGGGAACAACUUCAUCGUCCAUUUGUUUAAAAAGACAGAUUUCAUUUUGGGACU